rnacentral:rRNA from 1 species
UUUAUCACUGCCAUAUAUCUUAUUAACCGUUUGCCCAGCAAAGUUAUUGGCAACUCUACUCCUUUGGAACGUCUCUAUAAUCAAAAACCUGAUUAUAACUCUCUAAAAAUCUUUGGGUGUGCAUGCUAUCCCAAUCUCCGUCCAUACAAUCGUCAUAAGCUUGAGCUUCGUUCUACUCAAUGUGCUUUUCUUGGCUAUAGUAACCUUCAUAAAGGCUAUAAGUGCCUGGAAAAUGCUACUGGACGUAUUUAUAUUUCCAGGGAUGUUGUUUUUGAUGAAACUUUGUUUCCUUUUGCCAAACUUAAUCCCAACGCAGGAGCCCUUCUUCGUGCUGAAAUAGCCUUGCUUCCAGAUCAC